ACUAAAGAAUGGUGUUUGAGUGUGGACAACACUAUCAAAUCAUGUUGCUGCUGCUCCACCUGUGACGAAUCUGAACCAAUUUUGCGGUCCCAACCUUGCCAACACUCUGCUAAAGUAGCAACAAGUUUCCCUCUUCUAUAUUCAGUUUUGUUAGUGUUCAACACCAUGACCCUCGUUAAUUACCUGCAAUUUUGUCAUACUUUGUGACACUGAGGUAAGCAAAAGAAACAUAGUAUUAACAAUUCAAUAACUGUAAUUAAAAAUUGUUGUAAUCGUAAAAUUAAAAAUUUCGCCCAACAGAAACCACCUUUUCGUCCCAACCUUGCUAACACUCUGCUGAAGUAGCAAUGCGCAACCAUUCCCUUACAGACUGGAAUUGUCCGGAGACCAUUAUUUCUCGAUGAUCCCUACGAUUUGCACAUCUCAUUUGCAGGAGGAUGGAUUAAAAUGCAAACAUAACAAUUUCAGGGGGCAAAGACAUGCCCAAGCAAGUCGUAUUGAGAAGAGAAUGAGGUGGUAACAAGGUGUAACCAGGAAGAAAGAAGUUUCCACAGGAAUUCUAUCCAUUCCGUGUGGACACACUAAUCGAAGAAAGUCAGCCCAGCCAACCUGCCAAUGCUAAAGCAAAGCUAUCAAUCAUGUUGCUGCUCAACCCGUGACGAAUCUGAACCAUUUUGCAGUCCGAACCUUGCUGACAUUCUGCUAAAGUUGCAAUGUGCAACCAUUCGGUUACUUAAAUUCGGAAACAGGGGAUUAUAGGUAGUCUGUGCAUAGAGUCCUUUGGUAGUGUCUUUAGCAAGAUGCAUAAUUUUAAUUCGAUUAUUAUAUGCUUGAUCACUCUGAGCUUACAAAUAUGCAAGAAUUGCUUGUCGAUAGUAAUUGUUUAAAUGACUAUCUCACCAUCAGCUCGGUUUAACUCAACGAACAUCCGUUGAGCGGCUGGGGGCACACGCCUAACACGAUUCUAUAAGAAAAGGAGACUAGUCACCCCCACAGUGCUCUGUACC
rnacentral:lncRNA from 1 species